GACGAACGCUGGCGGCAUGCCUAAUACAUGCAAGUCGAGCGAACAGAUGAAGUGCUUGCACUUCUGACGUUAGCGGCGAACGGGUGAGUAACACGUAAGGAAUCUACCUAUAAGUGGGGGAUAACAUUCGGAAACGGGUGCUAAUACCGCAUAAUAUCUUCUUCCGCAUGGAAGAAGAUUGAAAGACGGCUCUGCUGUCACUUAUAGAUGACCUUGCGGUGCAUUAGUUAGUUGGUGGGGUAAUGGCCUACCAAGACGAUGAUGCAUAGCCGACCUGAGAGGGUGAUCGGCCACAUUGGGACUGGGACACAGCCCAAACUCCUACGGGAGGCAGAAGUAGGGAAUCUUCCGCAAUGGGCGAAAGCCUGACGGAGCAAUGCCGCGUGAGUGAAGAAGGCCUUCGGGUCGUAAAACUCUGUUAUAAGAGAAGAACAAAUUGUAGAGUAACUGCUACAGUCUUGACGGUAUCUUAUCAGAAAGCCACGGCUAACUACGUGCCAGCAGCCGCCGUAA
rnacentral:rRNA from 1 species